rnacentral:rRNA from 1 species
GAUGAACGCUGGCGGCGUGCCUAAUACAUGCAAGUCGAGCGAACAGACGAGGAGCUUGCUCCUCUGACGUUAGCGGCGGACGGGUGAGUAACACGUGGAUAACCUACCUAUAAGACUGGGAUAACUUCGGGAAACCGGAGCUAAUACCGGAUAAUCUAUUGAACCGCAUGGUUCAAUAGUGAAAGACGGUUUUGCUGUCACUUAUAGAUGGAUCCCCGCCGCAUUAGCUAGUUGGUAAGGUAACGGCUUACCAAGGCAACGAUGCGUAGCCGACCUGAGAGAGGGAUAGGCCACACUGGAACUGAGACACGGACCAGACGCCUACGGGAGGCAGAAGUAGGGAAUCUUACGCAAUGGGCGAAAGCUUGACGGAGCAACGCCGAGUGAGUGAUGAAGGUCUUCGGAUCGUAAAACUCUGUUAUUAGGGAAGAACAAAUGUGUAAGUAACUAUGCACGUCUUGACGGUACCUAAUCAGAAAGCCACGGCUAACUACGUG